rnacentral:rRNA from 1 species
GAUGAACGCUGGCGGCGUGCCUAAUACAUGCAAGUCGAGCGAACAUACGAGGAGCUUGCUCCUCUGACGUUUGCGGCGGACGGGUGAGUAACACGUGGAUAACCUACCUAUAAGACUGGGAUAACUUCGGGAAACCGGAGCUAAUACCGGAUAAUAUAUUGAAUCGCAUGGUUCAAUAGUGAAAGACGGUUUUGCUGUCCCUUAUAGAUGGAUCCGCGCCGCAGUAGCUAGUUGGUAAGGUAACGGCUUAACAAGGCAACGAUGCGUAGCCGACCUGAGAGGGUGAUCAGCCACACUGGAACGGAGACACGGUCCAGACUCCUUCGGGAGGCAGCAGUAGGGAAUCUGCCGCAAUGGGCGAAAGCUAUACGGAGCAACGCCGCGUGAGUGAUGAAGGUCUUCGGAUCGUAAAACUCUGUUAUUAGGGAAGAACAAAUGUGUAAGUAACUAUGCACGUCUUGACGGUACCUAAUCAGAAAGCCACGGCUAACUACGUG